CUGAGUGAGGGCCCCUCGGGGUCCAACCUCCCACCCGUGUUUAACGAACCUUGUUGCUUCGGCGGGCCCGCCUCACGGCCGCCGGGGGGCAUCUGCCCCCGGGCCCGCGCCCGCCGAAGCCACCUGUGAACGCUGUCUGAAGUAUGCAGUCUGAGACAAUUAUUAAAUUAAUUA
rnacentral:misc_RNA from 2 species